rnacentral:rRNA from 1 species
GACGAACGCUGGCGGCGUGCUUAACACAUGCAAGUCGAACGGAAAGGCCCUGCUCUUGUGGGGUGCUCGAGGGGCGAACGGGUGAGUAACACGUGAGUAACCUGCCCUUGACUUUGGGAUAACUUCAGGAAACUGGGGCUAAUACCGGAUAGGAGCUCCUGCUGCAUGGUGGGGGUUGGAAAGUUUCGGCGGUUGGGGAUGGACUCGCGGCUUAUCAGCUUGUUGGUGGGGUAGUGGCUUACCAAGGCUUUGACGGGUAGCCGGCCUGAGAGGGUGACCGGCCACAUUGGGACUGAGAUACGGCCCAGACUCCUACGGGAGGCAGCAGUGGGGAAUAUUGCACAAUGGGCGGAAGCCUGAUGCAGCAACGCCGCGUGCGGGAUGACGGCCUUCGGGUUGUAAACCGCUUUCGCCUGUGACGAAGCGUGAGUGACGGUAAUGGGUAAAGAAGCCCCGGCUAACUACGUG